rnacentral:rRNA from 1 species
UACGGGGGGGGCAAGCGUUGUUCGGAUUCAUUGGGCGUAAAGGGUGCGUAGGUGGCGCUGUAAGUCGGGUGUGAAAUCCUGGGGCUUAACCCCGGAACUGCAUUCGAUACUGCAGUGCUUGAGGACUGGAGAGGAGACUGGAAUUCAUGGUGUAGCAGUGAAAUGCGUAGAGAUCAUGAGGAAGACCAGUGGCGAAGGCGGGUCUCUGGACAGUUCCUGACACUGAGGCACGAAGGCCAGGGGAGCAAACGGG